GACGAACGCUGGCGGCGUGCUUAACACAUGCAAGUCGUGCGGUAAGGCCCUUUUGGGGGUACACGAGCGGCGAACGGGUGAGUAACACGUGAGUGACCUGCCUUCAACUUUGGGAUAAGCCUCGGAAAUGGGGUCUAAUACCGGAUAUGAUUCUGCGCUUCAUGGUGUGGGGUUGAAAGCCUUUUGGGGGUGGUUGGGGAUGGGCUCGCGGCCUAUCAGCUUGUUGGUGGGUGAUGGCCUACCAAGGCGG
rnacentral:rRNA from 1 species